rnacentral:rRNA from 1 species
ACGCUAGCGGCAGGCCUAACACAUGCAAGUCGAGGGGUAACAUAGAAAAGCUUGCUUUUCUGAUGACGACCGGCGCACGGGUGCGUAACGCGUAUACAAUCUGCCUUAUACUGGGGUAUAGCCUUUAGAAAUGAAGAUUAAUCCCCCAUAGCCUCUUUUAGUGGCAUCAUUACAAGAGUAAAGGUUACGGUAUAAGAUGAGUAUGCGUUCUAUUAGUUUGUUGGUGAGGUAACGGCUCACCAAGACUGCGAUAGAUAGGGGCCCUGAGAGGGGGAUCCCCCACACUGGUACUGAGACACGGACCAGACUCCUACGGGAGGCAGCAGUGAGGAAUAUUGGACAAUGGAGGCAACUCUGAUCCAGCCAUGCCGCGUGCAGGAAGACUGCCCUAUGGGUUGUAAACUGCUUUUAUACAGGAAGAAACCUUGGUACGUGUACCAAGCUGACGGUACUGUAAGAAUAAGGAUCGGCUAACUCCGUGCCAGCAGCCGCGGUAAUACGGAGGAUCCAAGCGUUAUCCGGAAUCAUUGGGUUUAAAGGGUCCGUAGGUGGAUAAUUAAGUCAGAGGUGAAAUCUUGCAGCUCAACUGUAAAAUUGCCUUUGAUACUGGUUAUCUUGAGUCAUUAUGAAGUAGUUAGAAUAUGUAGUGUAGCGGUGAAAUGCAUAGAUAUUACAUAGAAUACCAAUUGCGAAGGCAGAUUACUAAUAAUGUACUGACACUGAUGGACGAAAGCGUGGGUAGCGAACAGGAUUAGAUACCCUGGUAGUCCACGCCGUAAACGAUGGUUACUAGCUGUGUGGACUUCGGUCUGCGUGGCUAAGCGAAAGUGAUAAGUAACCCACCUGGGGAGUACGU